rnacentral:tRNA from 1 species
GACCUGGUGCUCCGGCGAGUAGCUCCGUCUGCAAAACGGAGCCGCGGGGUUCGACUCCCCUCCUGGUCU